rnacentral:rRNA from 1 species
ACUCCUACGGGAGGCAGCAGUAAGGAAUAUUGGUCAAUGGAGGGAACUCUGAACCAGCCAUGCCGCGUGCAGGAAGACAGCCCUCUGGGUCGUAAACUGCUUUUAUUCGGGAAUAAACCUUUCUACGUGUAGGAAGCUGAAUGUACCGAAGGAAUAAGGAUCGGCUAACUCCGUGCCAGCAGCCGCGGUAAUACGGAGGAUCCAAGCGUUAUCCGGAUUUAUUGGGUUUAAAGGGUGCGUAGGCGGCUUAUUAAGUCAGGGGUGAAAGACGGUGGCUCAACCAUCGCAGUGCCCUUGAUACUGAUGAGCUUGAAUACACUAGAGGUAGGCGGAAUGUGACAAGUAGCGGUGAAAUGCAUAGAUAUGUCACAGAACACCGAUUGCGAAGGCAGCUUACUAUGGUGUUAUUGACGCUGAGGCACGAAAGCGUGGGGAUCAAACAGGAUUAGAUACCCCUGGUAGCGACUGA